GCGGUCGUUGCUGAACGGUAUAAGCGGAGGUUUUAGGUGCCUCUGGACGAAAGUCCAUGUGGGUUCGAAUCCCAUCGGCCGCA
rnacentral:tRNA from 1 species